rnacentral:rRNA from 1 species
CAGUAGCCGCGGGAAAACGAAGGGGGCUAGCGUUGUUCGGAUUUACUGGGCGUAAAGCGCACGUAGGCGGACUUUUAAGUCAGGGGUGAAAUCCCGGGGCUCAACCCCGGAACUGCCUUUGAUACUGGAAGUCUUGAGUAUGGUAGAGGUGAGUGGAAUUCCGAGUGUAGAGGUGAAAUUCGUAGAUAUUCGGAGGAACACCAGUGGCGAAGGCGGCUCACUGGACCAUUACUGACGCUGAGGUGCGAAAGCGUGGGGAGCAAACAGGAUUAGAUACCCGUGUAGUCCCUGUCUCUUAUAC